GCGGGGGGCUCUGGGCAGGAUAUCAUCGUAUACUGUAAGUCGGCUAUGAGACACUACAGUAUAGAUGAUGUACUACCCCGGCCUUUCCCCU
rnacentral:pre_miRNA from 1 species